CAGAGAACAAGGUCCAUUCCCAGCACGCAGUCUGGCUGCCGGCACUAAGGUGUCUGUUCAGGCAAAGGAAUCAUUGGGGAUAUUGGGGUUUUCUCUUAUCUGCUCCAACCUCCUGCAGCCAUGUGGUCUGGCAGUGACCCCAGUUUGGGGGUGGGGGUGAGCAGGGCCAACUUGUAAGGCACCUGACACAUCUAAGCCAAUUGUGCUGGCCAUGCAGUCCCAGCCCCCUGGCCAGUGUUUGGUUCAGAAGCCCAGGCUUAAGCCAAUUAGGGAUGUCUGCAACCCUGACCACAUUGGGUGGUUCCCAAAUGGGAGCACGACCCAACUGGGCCACAGACGUGAGAAAAGUUUGCCUUGCUCUCUACAGACACAGGAUGCAAUGGUUUUGAAAUGGUGCGUGAUGAUUAGUCAAAUCCAUUCCACCUGCCUCCACUAAUCAAGGUCGUUUUAACACUUGCAUGUCCUCAGAGCAGCACGUAGUCUGAACAAUAAGAUGUUUGCCCAAGUUACUUUCCAGGAACUUGGAGUCUCAGCUGAGCCGGUUAAGGUGGGAUAGGCCCACCCAUCCUCCAGCUGGGCAUGCGCAGGUGUGCGCCCCGUGACCUUUCACAUGUGCAGAAGCCCUGUAGCUUAGUUACGCCUGCGCAGAAGGAUGAUUCCUGCACCUUUUCCCAGUCACCUUUCCUACGUGCCCCACCCUUCAUGCGCCCUGCAGCUUUAUUUGUCAUCCUAUAAAUACCCUGAGCUCCUCCCAUUCUGGGAGGCAGAUUCGAGAUCUGAGAUCGGUUCUUCCGUCUCGUCUCUCCGCCGGAAUAAACCCACUCUGCCCCAAACCUUGGCGUCUCAACGUUUGGCUAGCUGUGCGAAGAACCUGGUUCGGUAACAAGUUUGGCGAGCCAGGCAGGAGGGGAAGUCCAGAUGGACCUUUUGCUCGGGGCUUGUUGGCCAGUUGCUGGUACUGAGAGCCUGUGGACGAGCCCAAGCAGCUGCCGGGUCCGUUUGUUCCAGGACCAUCUCCGAAUUUCCUCUGCCGGGCGCCACCGAGGUUUCAUUUCCCAGCAGACGGUUUGGGUUUGGAAGACGUCUUAUGGGUCUGGUUCUUCUCUACAGCGGUUAGACAAGUACUGAAGUAGCUAGAAUAUAGCCAGCAAGGGCCCAGGUAGAGCAACAAUUCAUCUUGAAUCUUUGUAAGUAUAUAUUUAUUUCCUUUGGUGCCUUGCACAGUAAGGCACUAUUAAUAACAGAAUAGAAAUGGCCACAGCAAAUAGUUCUAGUGACAAUUUACUAGACAAGUUACAGUUUAAUGAUGGUGGUGGUGAUUCUUUCAUUUUAUUAUUUUUUACAAUAAGGGUGUAAUCUUUUUAUACUCCACACACACAAAAUAAAACAAGUGCUUAAGAAAGAGUCCCUGCCCCCACCCCCCAUCUCAAAACAUCUUGAACGUAACUAUUCAAUAGAACAGAAAAAUCGACAUGUUUGAUUUCAAAAUUUCAAUAAAAAAGCAAAGUAUGUAAUGCAACAGCUGUUCAACUUUCAACUCUAAAAUAGGCACCGUUAGACAAACAAAACUCCCAGUAUUUUAAAUGUCUCCAGCACACAUUCCAGUAUAAAUGUUCUGAACUGUAAUCAGCUAGUAAUUAAUAAUGGGAAAUAGAACCUUAGAACAGAAGUUAUAUUGCUUCCCUGCUCCCCUUUCUCUUACAAUUAGAGGGUAGAGGUAUCAAGGGAUACAGAGUCAAAGGAAGAAGGAUUAAAAAGAAAUUCCCAAAGUCGCUGUUGUUUGGAUGAGAAAGGAAGACAGCAUUUUACAAAUGUUCAAAAAAUCCCAAGGCAAGUAACACAAUUUAUUCACUAUCACUCCUACCAGAAAGAAUAAAGACAUCAGCGUCUUAUUAUAUAAAAGUGUACUUUCAGAAGUAUAUUACGAGUUUACCAGAAACUAUGGAUGUAGUUUUAGGCUUCAUCAAAGAAAACAAGUUCAGAUCAAGUUAGAUGCUGUACACCUAGCCUAGCUGGAUCGGUGUCUGGAACUGCUCACUGUGUCACCCCGAACAGCUGUAAACUAAACAAUAGUAUGUAACUCCAGAGGAAGCUUAAGGAUUGAGGAUAUGUACACAGCUAAUUAUAUCUCCCCUGCUUCGCGCUCUUCAGAGCUCCUCCUGUCUUCUGAUCUGCCAUUAGCGCUCUCAUAGGACCGCUUCUUAUCUUUUCGAUCUCUGUCACGAGGUGAUCUGUCUCUUGAAUUCCUGUCUCUGUCACGUGAUGCUAAGUCUUGGUCUCUGAAUCUUUCUUUUGAGGAUCUGAAAAAUAUUAAUUUGAGGAGCAAAAUGUGUUGGGAAACCCAAAAUCCAAAUGAAAGAAUCGGAUAAAUAUUAAGAUACUGAUUAGCUGAAGAUAUAAAGAAAGAAGAGUCAGUUUUCUGACAGAAAAAAGUACUACUAUAUUUGAUAAGGGUACUAAAACAAGGAGAUGGGUGAAAACAAAUAGCUAAGGGUCAAAAACUAUAAGCCAAAAUAAUGAUUUACAGGACAUUCUCAUUAUCUUAGAGGCAACCCUACAGCUUCUCCAGUUUAUAGCAAAUGUAUUUAAUGUAAAAAAAAUAUAUAUAGAUAAUACCUUAAAGAUGUUACCCAAUAUUCUAAAACUAUGUAAUAGAAUGCAGAUUCCAAAUUAGAUGGAAAUCAAUGACUCAGGACAGGGGUCAGGAACCCUUUUUUCUUUGCUGUCUGGCCAGAACUGUAAAUAGUUUAGGUGUUGCAGGUCAUGUGUGUCUGGUAUAUUCUCCCUUUUCUUUUGGUCAACCCCGUAACAAUAUAAAAACCACCAUCCAUAGCUCCCUGGCUGUAUAAAAACAGGCUAUGGGGCCAGAUUUGGCCUGUAAGGCAACAGUUUGCCAACACUCAGCUUACAUAAGAGAACUACUCAAUUUUAAAAUAAUAAAAACUCUGCUUUAUUCCUCCUGAGUUAGCUCAUUCAAGCAACAGAAAAAAACCAGAACAGAAGACAAAGAUGAUCACACUACAACAGAUCUUGAUUAACCAUAACUGUUUCUUAAUACCACCUUUCCAUUCCCAUACCCAACUCAAUAAGAAGGGUAAAUAAUAAGCUCAUACCAGAGAUGCAAUCAAAAGGAAAACCAAAGGACAUUAGGGGAUCAGAAUUAAUAUGGAAUCCUUCUAUACCUUCAACAUCUAGAAUGAAUCAGUAACAUAUUACAUUUAUUUGGUUCUUUACAGGUGACAUGGUGCUUCUACAUAAUUAUCUCACUUAACCCAUGUUCAGAAGCCUGAUUAAGUAAUACUUUCAACUUCUAAGGCAGGGAAAAAACUACUACUAUACCACCCAGUUUUAGAAAUAUAGUUUAAAAGGAUUAAACCAAAAAGGUUGAAAGAUUAAAUGUCAACCUCUAGCAUUCUACUUAAUUAAGGUCUUAAUAAGCUUAAUUUUAAAAUGAUGUGUUAAAUCAUACAGUGUACAUCCUAUCCAUGUCUUUGUAGGAAUGGAAUAAUGAAGAGAGACGACUGAGAUGAUGCCUAAGAACAAGGACACGGGUUGCUGGAAACAUCAGGGACUAGGUCCCAGAAGAGGCGACUUGACUUCAUGCCCACCCCUCCAUCCCACCACCAUUAAUGACAUUUAAGAGUUCAGAGACAUCAGAAACAAUGACAAGUGGCCAAAAGAAAUUCUCUAGACCUUCUAUCAGCCAGCAAAAUGAUUCUUAAAAUUUACAGUACAGGUAAGAUUCAUGGAGAAUUUUUUUUAAAUGUAUUUUUCUGGACAUUGUACUGUGUGCCUAGUUUUUAAGAACGCAAGCUAAACGGCCUAGAAUCACACUGUGAGGAACUCUGUCCCCAGUAAAUUCCCUGUUCAUCCUCUACAUUUGCCUAGAAUAUCUACAAUAUCUUUUUCCUACCUGGUUUUACCUAUUCAGAUCAUAUCCACUCUAUUUAGGUUUUAGGUUACUCCCUGAAGCCUUUUCCUUUCUUUCUUUUUUUUUUUUUACUCUGAAAGUUCCCUCAUCUAAGCUCCUGUAUUAUUUAUUCUGAUAUCCAGUUUAGCACUUUGUUAGGUCCGUCUCAUUAUUGUCAAAGAUGUUAGUCCUGUGUCCCAACUCAAUUGAAUAAAGUUGCUCAACUACAUUAUACUUGUUUUUCUUUUUUUUAAUAGGCCUAGUACAGCAGAAAAUAUACAGUUAUUACUGACAA